AGCCGAGCGGUAUUUCUUCUUCGGGAGAGAGAGAGCGGCGUACGGGUGCGGACCCCUAGAGCAACCUGCCUUUAUCUAGAGGAUAGCCUUUCGAAAGCCAUAUUAAUACUCUAUAAUAUAUUAAUUGGCAUCAAUUGAUAUUGAAAACUCCGGUGGAUAGAGAUGGGCACGCGCAAGAUUAGCUAGUUGGUGAGGUAACGGCUCACCAAGGCAAUGAUCUUUAGGGGGCCUGAGAGGGUGAUCCCCCACACUGGUACUGAGACACGGACCAGACUCCUACGGGAGGCAGCAGUGAGGAAUAUUGGUCAAUGGGUGCAAGCCUGAACCAGCCAUCCCGCGUGAAGGAUUAAGGUCCUAUGGAUUGUAAACUUCUUUUGUAUAGGGAUAAACCUACCCUCGUGAGGGUAGCUGAAGGUACUAUACGAAUAAGCACCGGCUAACUCCGUGCCAAAUCACUA
rnacentral:rRNA from 1 species